rnacentral:lncRNA from 1 species
UUGGAAAUGGGGUCCGAGAGAUCAGAGUGGGAGGACAUAGGGGAGGAAACGACAUUCAAAAAGAACCUACUGUGAUGCAAGAGUCUGGGAAACCUGGGAGCCGCUUUCAGAAUCCUUUCUGCUCCCCACUCCUUCUCCUCCUGGUUCUGACCUUUAAGGACAGGAUGUGGAUAAAUUUAUCCCUGGGUGUUGAGUUGCAGCUACUGCAGUUAACUUGCUCAGGCCCAAGUGCAGGGCUUGGGGACCACUGCAGGAGUCUCCAAAUGGCCUGGGGUACUGAGGGAUCACACCUACACACAAGGCUGCUGGAACGGGGGCCAAGGUGGCCUCAUGGCACUUACUGGUCAUCAAUGAUGUGCUUGCAGGAGGUGGAAACAAUGUAGCCAGCUGUGGAGGCCAUGACGGCUUGGACGGAGGACACGAGCCUAGGGAGGAAGAGGGAGCCGUCGGUUGGGGAGAAGAGGCGCCCCUUGGCUUCUCCUCUUGAUUGUCCAGUUACUGUGCUUCUCGGGUCACUCCCUGCCCAUCUUUCCCCAAGGCUGCCUUGCCCGGGGCUCAGCCCCAUUCAGACAGCAGUGAGCUCCUGGGUUCACCCCUUUCUCUGCCAUCUUCCUCCCCUCAACUGCGGACCCUGAGUCGCCGUCCCCUCAGGAGGACACCAGGGAGGUCAUCUUGAGGUUGGAGUGGUUCUGCAGACCCCAGCAGAGGAGCGCGAAAGUCAACGGGAAGAAGACACAGCCCAGUACAAAAAGCAGGGUCAUGCCUGUCUGGGGGACAAAAGGUGAGAAAAGGUGGUGGUGAGAACACUUCAGCACAAUGUCCCUUGGAUCCAGAGGCCCCCUACUUCGCCCCAGUAUCUCUGUGGACCAUGGGCUACAUCUAUCUGUAGCCAUCAAAAGCCAUCAGGCGAGGAGUUCCCGUCAUGGCUCAGCAGUUAAUGAAUCCGACUAGCAUCCAUGAGGACACGGGUUUGAUCCCUAGCCUCAGUCGGUGGGUUAAGGAUCCAGUGUUGCCGUGAGCUGUGGUGUAGGUUGCAGAGGCAGCUCAAGUCCUGUGUUGCUGUGGUUGUGGUGUAGGCUGGCAGCUGUAUUGGACCCCUAGCCUGGGAACCUCCAUGUGCCAAGGGUGCGGCCCUAAAAAGACCAAAAGAAAAAAAAAAGCCAUCAGGCGUUUCUCUUCCCCAAUCUCUUUGAGAUCCAUAUUGAACUUGAAAUAUCCCUCAGAGCAAUUGGACAUCCUAACUUUUUUGGUUAUCAAUCCAAUUCCAACAAUUUUAUUCAUGUUCCCUGUAGUCCCCGAAGCGGGUCGAUACCUCCCAGUCCAUCUCUCGCCUUAAAAUCCCUUCUUGGAUUUCCUGUCGUGGCUCAGUGGUUAACGAAUCCAACUAGGAACCCUGAGGUUGCGGGUUCGAUCCCUGGCAUUGCUCUCGGUUAAGGAUCUGGCAUUGCCUUGAGCUGUGGUGUAGGCCAGCAGCUACAGCUCCAAUUUGAUCCCUAGCCUGGGAACCUCUAUAUGCCUUGGGAGCGGCUCAAGAAAUGGCAAAAAGACAAAAAAAAAAAAAAAAAAAAAAAAA